GACGAACGCUGGCGGCGUGCCUAAUACAUGCAAGUAGGACGCAGUUGCGAACGGGUGAGUAACGCGUAGGUAACUACCUAUUAGAGGGGGAUAAAUAUUGGAAACGAUAGCUAAUACCGCAUACUAGUAGAUGGACCUGCGUUGUAUUAGGUAGUAGGUAGGGUAAUGGCCUACCUAGGCAACGAUACAUAGCCGAGCUGAGAGGGUGAUCGGGCACACGUGGACUUAGACACGGCCCAGACCCCUACGGGAGGCAGCAGGAGGGAAUCUUCGGCAAUGGGGGGAAACCUUACCGAGCAACGCCGCGGGAGUGAAGAAGGGUUUCGGAUCGUAAAGCUCUGUUGUGAAGGAAGCGGUACUUAACCAGAAAGGGACGGCUAACUACGUGCCAGCAGCCGCGGUAAUUC
rnacentral:rRNA from 1 species